rnacentral:lncRNA from 1 species
AUCACUCUAUUUGACAAACGAUAAUAGAACUUGGAAUUUAGAAAAUACAAAAGUUUAUUACCAAAGAAUGUAUUUGUGUAAUUCUAUAUAAUUACAACUUGGUUUCCUGGGAGAGACACAAAUUGACCAUGAGACGGUCCAUUAAUGGAGACCAUGAUCGGAAUUAUUCAACCGUUUUGUGAUUCGGGUCGGUUAUUCACCUCCGUCAGUUCUGAUGUUCUGUAUCUCGUGUAAAUUUUCCGGCCGGCCGCCACAUGCAAUGGACUUAUAGUUUAUUUGUGGUGGAGAAGGCAGGGGAACACAUGAUGUAUUCAUGUGUUUCUUUUGCCUAUCACCGGUGAUAGUUGGAAUUCGUCCCGACUCAACAUCCGUCCUACAAAUCAUAAUUCAUAUAAUAUUCCACAUUUUGAAGCAAACUUAAAUAAUUACUUAGGUAUAUAAAUUAUGGUUUUGAAAAAUUAGGCUUAUUACUAUCAUUUAGGAAUUGGGCUUUUCUUACAGAAAGAGAUAUUUGCCAGGCGGAUUCAAAACAAUAUGCUGAGAUAAAAGAGUUUAUUUAUAAUAAUUCGAUUUAUUGGACCGAAUGAUAAAAUUUAAAAUGUACUAGAAAAUAAAAUUAUAUAAGUGCAUUCCUAAUAUGAGUUUAUAAGGAGCCGCGGUUUUCGGAUGAAUAACCCAUUUCCGUACCCUCCUAACCAAUUAAUUCUAAACAAACAAAAAGUCUAAAUUCAAACAAACAAAGACUCAAAAACUAGAAAAGAAGAAAACUGACGUGGAAUGACUCGACUACAUAACCGAACACCAAAAACCACAAAACCGACCAAACGAUACGAGAACCGAGAAACCAAACAAAGAAUCAGAACACAACCCAUGGCUUUAAUUCUGCGUUAGCUGACCGAACUCCGCAGGCCCCUAAUGUCUUGUGUUGAUGGGCAGGCCCCCGGAGGCUGGCCUGCCUGUGCAUCAUCACCUGCUCCGUUGGCGGUGAGCUUCUUUGGCGAAGUUCGUACGAGAUCUGCCAUUAUCGUCUCCUCCUCAUCGCUGCCAUCGAGAGUGAGAUUCUCGACCUCGUUCUCCAUAGUAGCGGUGGUGGCGGCUGACACCACAGUCAUCGGACUUGGCGUGGUAGUCAGCGGGUUUGAUGGGUGCGUAUCUGGAUGGGGUUUAGUGGUAAAAGAAAUUCAAAGGGUCUUGGAUACACCGGCUCUCAUAUGAGAGAAGACAAAAACAGGCUGCGAUGUUUAUAGCAAUGGUUGGAGGGAAGAGCAAUCGAAAAACGGGUGCGGCGAGGUUUUCUAUAGGCGACUCUCAUCUGCGAAAUGUGUUUGUUGCUAAGGG